GACGAACGCUGGCGGCGUGCUUAACACAUGCAAGUCGAACGGAAAGGCCCUGCUUUUGUGGGGUGCUCGAGUGGCGAACGGGUGAGUAACACGUGAGUAACCUGCCCUUGACUUUGGGAUAACUUCAGGAAACUGGGGCUAAUACCGGAUAGGAGCUCCUGCUGCAUGGUGGGGGUUGGAAAGUUUCGGCGGUUGGGGAUGGACUCGCGGCUUAUCAGCUUGUUGGUGGGGUAGUGGCUUACCAAGGCUUUGACGGGUAGCCGGCCUGAGAGGGUGACCGGCCACAUUGGGACUGAGAUACGGCCCAGACUCCUACGGGAGGCAGCAGUGGGGAAUAUUGCACAAUGGGCGGAAGCCUGAUGCAGCAACGCCGCGUGCGGGAUGACGGCCUUCGGGUGGUAAACCGCUUUCGCCUGUGACGAAGCGUGAGUGACGGGAAUGGGGAAAGAAACACCGGCUAACUACGU
rnacentral:rRNA from 1 species